rnacentral:rRNA from 1 species
AACAUGCCUUGAGGUGGGGGACAACAGUUGGAAACGACUGCUAAUACCGCAUAAUGUCUACGGACCAAAGGGGGCUUCGGCUCUCGCCUUUAGAUUGGCCCAAGUGGGAUUAGCUAGUUGGUGAGGUAAUGGCUCACCAAGGCGACGAUCCCUAGCUGGUUUGAGAGGAUGAUCAGCCACACUGGGACUGAGACACGGCCCAGACUCCUACGGGAGGCAGCAGUGGGGAAUAUUGCACAAUGGGCGCAAGCCUGAUGCAGCCAUGCCGCGUGUGUGAAGAAGGCCUUCGGGUUGUAAAGCACUUUCAGUCAGGAGGAAAGGGUGGUGGUUAAUACCCGUCAUGUGUGACGUUACUGACAGAAGAAGCACCGGCUAACUCCGUGCCAGCAGCCGCGGUAAUACGGAGGGUGCGAGCGUUAAUC